GACGAACGCUGGCGGCGUGCUUAACACAUGCAAGUCGAGCGGUAAGGCCCUUUCGGGGGUACGACGAGCGGCGAACGGGUGAGUAACACGUGGGUGACCUGCCCUCAGCUCUGGGAUAAGCCUGGGAAACUGGGUCUAAUACUGGAUAUGACUCCACGGUGCAUGUCGUGGGGUGGAAAGCCUUGUGCGGCUGAGGAUGGGCCCGCGGCCUAUCAGCUUGUUGGUGGGGUGANGGCCUACCAAGGCGACGACGGGUAGCCGGCCUGAGAGGGCGACCGGCCACACUGGGACUGAGACACGGCCCAGACUCCUACGGGAGGCAGCAGUGGGGAAUCUUGCGCAAUGGGCGAAAGCCUGACGCAGCGACGCCGCGUGAGGGNU
rnacentral:rRNA from 1 species